GUGCAUCAAACAGGAGAAGGAGGGGAAGGACAUGCUAAUAAGAGAACAGCAUGAGCAAAGACUUUUGAAGAUUUUAAAAAUGACAAGCAAGCUGUGGAAUAUCAACAGCGAAUUGUGGAUAUUUUGUUGAAAGUUAUGGUGGAGAAUUCAGACUUUACCCCCUCACAAGUAGGAUGUCUCUUUACCUUCCUUGCUCGGCAGCUUGCAAAGCCUGACAACACCUUGUUUGUAAACAGAACACUUUUUGAUCAGGUCCUUGAAUUCCUUUGUAGUCCUGACGAUGACUCCCGACACUCUGAAAGACAGCAGGUCCUUUUAGAAUUGCUGCAGGCUGGAGGCAUAGUUCAAUUUGAAGAGAGUCGACUCAUCCGGAUGGCAGAAAAAGCUGAGUUCUAUCAAAUUUGUGAAUUUAUGUAUGAAAGAGAACACCAAUAUGACAAAAUUAUUGAUUGCUACUUACGUGACCCUCUGCGAGAGGAAGAAGUCUUUAAUUACAUUCACAAUAUCUUGUCCAUUCCCGGACACAGUCCAGAGGAGAAGCAGUCUGUAUGGCAGAAAGCAAUGGAUC
rnacentral:sRNA from 1 species